AGGCAAUCUGUUUGGUACUCAUAUGCCUCGUUUCUUUGCCCGGCAAGCUUGCUCGGCUGGGCAAGGAAAUUCUUGCCGACGCAUCAGCUCUCCUGCGCGGCCGCGCGGGCCAGGUUCGCUCGCCCACUCGCAUGCUCACGCGGGCUGCCUAAGCCACCUUUGAAUCGGUGUUGCGCUGCCACAAAUCGAACUUUCUGCUUCGCCGCCGUCGAAAUCGAACUUUGCAGCCGCCGAAUCGAUCUUGCCGCUGUUGUUUUUAGCUCCGGCGUCGCUGGAUUGAUCUUCAACAGCCCCAAAUCAAGCUUCACCACCGUCGAUUUGAGCUCCGCCGUCACCGGAUCGAGCUUCGGGGUGAGGCAAGGCAAGCAGCGGCAAAGGCCCCUAGGAGCUGGCCUUGCUUUGCCCGGCGAGGCGAGCUGCGGCCAGAGUUCCAAGCACGCCCGCAGUCAUCCGGCCCGGGGUCCGUCCAGAGAUAGUACUGCUGCUGUUUGGAACCUCACAUUCUCCUACCGCUGCCUCAUCGAAACGUCUAACGAAGCCUGUUCGCUUUAGCUUAUUCAGAUUUAUCAACCACCAAACAAUAUUUUCCUCUCACAACAAAUUAACCGUUCCAGCUUUUCAGCUGACUUAUAAGCUGAACCGAACACCUCGCGGAUCGCUACAAUAUCAAAGACGCGUGGUACCAUCGCAAUGCUACAGUGGAAGGG
rnacentral:lncRNA from 1 species